rnacentral:rRNA from 1 species
GACGAAGGACCCAAGCGUUAUCCGGAUUCAUUGGGUUUAAAGGGUGCGUAGGCGGUCAUGUAAGUCAGUGCUGAAAUAUCCCGGCUUAACCGGGAGGGUGGCAUUGAUACUGUAUGACUUGAGUAAAGUUGAGGUUGGCGGAAUUGACGGUGUAGCGGUGAAAUGCUUAGAUAUCGUCAAGAACACCUAUUGCGAAGGCAGCUAACUAAGCUUUAACUGACGCUGAGGCACGAAAGUGUGGGGAUCAAACAGG